rnacentral:rRNA from 1 species
GCGGUCCCAGUUCGAAUUGAAGGCUGAAAUUCGCCUUCAUGAAGUCGGAAUUGCUAGUAAUGGCAGGUCAGCAUACUGCCGUGAAUACGUUCCCGGGCCUUGUACACACCGCCCGUCACACCAUGAGAGUUGGAGAUACCCGAAGCCUGUGAGCUAACUUUUAGAGGCAGCAGUCGAAGGUAGAAUCAAUGAUUGGGGUGAAGUCGUAACAAGGUAUC